rnacentral:rRNA from 1 species
AGUGAACGCUGGCGGUAUGCCUAACACAUGCAAGUCGAACGGCAGCACAGUAAGAGCUUGCUCUUACUGGUGGCGAGUGGCGGACGGGUGAGGAAUACAUCGGAAUCUACUUUUUCGUGGGGGAUAACGUAGGGAAACUUACGCUAAUACCUCAUACGACCUACGGGUGAAAGCAGGGGAUCUUCGGACCUUGCGCGAUUGAAUUAGCCGAUGUCGGAUUAGCUAGUUGGCUGGGUAAAGGCCCACCAAGGCAACGAUCCGUAGCUGGUCUGAGAGGAUGAUCAGCCACACUGGAACUGAGACACGGUCCAGACUCCUACGGGAGGCAGCAGUGGGGAAUCUUGGACAAUGGGCGCAAGCCUGAUCCAGCAAUACCGCGUGGGUGAAGAAGGCCUUCGGGUUGUAAAGCUCUUUUGUUGGGAAAGAAAAGAAGCAGGUUAAUCCCCCGAUGUUCUGACGGUACCCAAAGAAUAAGCACCGGCUAACUUCGUG